UACGGGGGGGGCAAGCGUUGUUCGGAAUUACUGGGCGUAAAGGCUCGUAGGCGGCCAACUAAGUCAGACGUGAAAUCCCUCGGCUUAACCUGGGGACUGCAUUUGAUAACUGAUUGGCUUGAAUUCGGGAGAGGAUAGCGGGAAAGUUCCCAGUGUAGAGGUGAAAUUCGUAGAUAUUGGGAAGAACACCGGUGGCGAAGGCGGCUAUCUGGACCGACGAUUGACGCUGAUGCGCGAAAGCGUGGGGAGCAAACAGG
rnacentral:rRNA from 1 species